GAAGGCUGUCAUUCUGCAAUUCUUGGUGGUGGUCACUUUGGUCGAGAUAAAACAUUAGAAAAAUCUCAGAGAGGUACUACUGGAAAGGGAUGGUAAAUGAUGUGAGGAGUUUUUGUAAAUAUUGUGAUAAAUGUCAAAGAGCAAACAGAGCAUUUGAAAAACACUCAGCUGAACUACAUCCUAUUAAAGUUAAAGAUGAAGUUUGGAGUACAGUUUUAAUCUUUAUUUUAAAUUAAUUUAAUUGGACCUCUUCCUUUAACAGAUAAAGGAAACAAAUACAUCAUAACAGCAACCUGUUUAUUUUCCAAGUGGCCUGAAGCUGCUUCCUUAUCUAAUAAAACAGCUACAAGUGCAGCAGAGUUCUUGUAUACAUGCUUUACGAGACAUGGUUGUUGUGAAGUUCAGAUAAGUGAUCAAGGAAGAGAGUUUGUUAAUGAGGUAAACCAUGAAUUAAAUAAAAUGAUGGGCACAAAGUGCAAUGUUACAAGUGCCUACCACCCACAGAGCAACGGUGAAGAUGAAA